rnacentral:misc_RNA from 1 species
AAGUCGUAACAAGGUUUCCGUAGGUGAACCUGCGGAAGGAUCAUUAUCGUGAUAUUCCACGAAUAAACCAAACCGUGCACCUUUCUUUUUCCUCCGAAAACACUCUGCAUUUGCUAAUGGCUCGGCCAUCCCAAGUCGUCUCUUUUCUCGCAAGAGAAAAGAGCGGGUCUGAUUUUCCACUCGUGGUUUGUAUCAGUGCCUUGUUUCAACAUUUGUUGAAACAGCUAAGGAUCCGUGGUCGCGAGUUUGUGAUUUUCUCAAAUCACCAACUCGGGCUGGAGAUAUUUUGGAGCGUAUUUCAAACCAUGGGUUUUUACACCUAUUCAACAUUUACGCAUUGUAUCUUACUUUGUACUGAAACGAACCUUUUUUCUUGAAAAAGAAAAAGGAUAUACGAAACGCUAAAUAACUCUUAGCAACGGAUAUCUUGGUUCUC